rnacentral:rRNA from 1 species
AAAAACGAUUGGUCGUCGCUAGCCAUGCGAGUCUAUGGUUUCGGCCAUGGCGGACGGCUCAUUAACACGUGGUUAACUUACCCUCGGGUGGGGCAUAACCUUGGGAAACUGAGGAUAAUUCCCCAUAAGAAAAGGGGUCUGGAACUGUUCUUUUCUGAAAAUAUAUGGCCCCUAGGAUAGGACUGCGCUCGAUUAGGUAGUUGGGGGUGUAAUGGCCCACCAAGCCUACGAUCGAUACGGGCCGUGAGAAAGAGAGCCCGGAGAUGGAGACUGAGACACGGCCCCAGGCCCUACGGGGCGCAGCAGGGGCGAAACCUCCGCAAUGCACGAAAGUGCGACGGGGGGACCCCAAGUGCUCAUGCACAGCAUGGGCUUUUAUCAAGUGUAAACAGCUUGAGGAAUAAGGGCUGGGCAAGUUCGGUGCCAGCAGCCGCGGUAAUACCGACGGCCCGAGGGGUAGCCACUCUUAUUGGGCCUAGGGGGUCCGUAGCCGGUCCAUUAACUCCCUGUUUAAAUCCUGCGGCUUAACCUCAGGACUGGGAGGGAUACUGCUGGACUUGGGACCGGGAGAGGACAAGGGUACUCCAGGGGUAACGGUAAAAUGUGUUGAUCCUUGGAGGACCACCUAUGGCGAACGCACUAGUCUGGAACGGGUCCGACGGUGAGGGACGAAAGCCACGCGCGCUAACCUGAUUAGAUACCCGGGUAGUCCUGGUACUAAACUCUGCGAACUAAGUGUUAGGGAGGCCUCGUGUCUAUCUAGUGCCGAAAGGAAGCCGUUAAAGUUCGCCGCCCUGGGG